AAAUGAAUAGACGGGGGCCCGCACAAGCGGUGGAUUAUGUGGUUUAAUUCGAAGCAACGCGCAGAACCUUACCUGGGCUUGAACUCCCACGAACCUCGAGUAAUGUUGAGGGUGCCCUCACGGGAAUGUGGAGAGAGGCGCUGCAUGGCUGUCGUCAGUUCGUGUUGUGAAAUGUUGGGUUAAGUCUCGCAACGAGCGCAACCCCCGUUCUUAGUUGCUACUAUUAAGUUAAGCACUCUAGGAAGACUGCCUGGGUUAACCAGGAGGAAGGUGGGGAUGACGUCAAGUCCUCAUGGCCCUUAUGUCCAGGGCUACACACGUAAUACAAUGGUUGAUACAACGGGAUGCCAACUCGUAAGAGGGAGCUAAUCUCAAAAAAUCAAUCUCAGUCCGGAUUGGAGUCUGCAACUCGACUCCAUGAAGCUGGAAUCGCUAGUAAUCGCGGAUCAGCACGCCGCGGUGAAUACGUUCCCGGGCCUUGUACACACCGCCCGU
rnacentral:rRNA from 1 species